CGGGUACCAAUUUUUCUAAUGAAUUACGUACUCAACAAAUGUUCACGAUUGACUUCCACGGUGAAGGAAUAACAUCGUGUAAUAAAAAGUGAAACCCGCAAAAUUAUAAUUUGCGUAAUUACUGGUGGUAGGACCUGUUGUGAGUCCGCGCGGGUACCACCGCCCUGCCUAUUUUCUGCCGUGAAGCAGUAAUGCGUUUCGGUUUGAAGGGUGGGGCAGCCGUUGUGACUAUACUGAGACCUUACAACUAUAUCUCAAGGUGUGUGGCGCAUUUACGUUGUAGAUGUCUAUGGUCUCCAGUAACCACUUAACACCAGGUGGGCUGUGAGCUCGUCCACAAAUCUAAU